UAACGCGUGAGCAAUCUGCCCAUGUCUGGGGAAUAACAGUUGGAAACGACUGAUAAUACCGCAUAAGACCACAGGAAGGCAUCUUCCAGGGGUAAAAGAUUUAUCGGAUAUGGAUGAGCUCGCGUCUGAUUAGCUUGUUGGUGAGGUAACGGCUCACCAAGGCGACGAUCAGUAGCCGACCUGAGAGGGUGAUCGGCCACAUUGGAACUGAGACACGGUCCAAACUCCUACGGAAGGCAGCAG
rnacentral:rRNA from 1 species